UUGCUCUAUUUAAAGCAUCCCAGGGCUCUCAGAGCAACUGCAGAGACAAACCUUAACCUGCCAUUAAACUAGCAGAGGGGGAAUGGCAGAACCAGCCCAGGCCCCGCUGGCCCGCCUGCUUGUCCCGGUGCUGCUGGCGCUCGGCUGGGUCGUGGGCUGUGCCCUCAUGGUCUACAUUGUCUUCUCCUGAGGCAGGAAGGGAUGGCAGUGUCACCCACUGUCCUGUGGUCAGAAGAACCUACAGUGAUGUUGAGGAGAAGAACAUGGAAAUUCAGUUUGCAUUUCUCAUGACAAUAAUACUUAUAAAAUGAGUUAAUUUUAAUAUCAACAA